rnacentral:rRNA from 1 species
UACAGAGGGUGCAAGCGUUGUUCGGAAUUACUGGGCGUAAAGCGCACGUAGGCGGCUUGGUAUGUCGGGUGUGAAAUCCCCGGGCUCAACCUGGGAACUGCAUCCGAAACUGCCUUGCUCGAGUAUGGGAGAGGGAAGUGGAAUUUCCGGUGUAGCGGUGAAAUGCGUAGAUAUCGGAAGGAACACCAGUGGCGAAGGCGACUUCCUGGCCUGUUCUUGACGCUGAGGCGCGAAAGCUAGGGUAGCAAACGGG